UACGUAGGGUGCGAGCGUUAAUCGGAAUUACUGGGCGUAAAGCGUACGCAGGCGGUUCGUUAUGUCCGAUGUGAAAGCCCCGAGCUCAACUUGGGAAUGGCAUUGGAAACUGGCGGGCUGGAGUGUGGCAGAGGGGGGUGGAAUUCCACGUGUAGCAGUGAAAUGCGUAGAGAUGUGGAGGAACACCGAUGGCGAAGGCAGCCCCCUGGGCCAACACUGACGCUCAGGCACGAAAGCGUGGGGAGCAAACAGG
rnacentral:rRNA from 1 species